rnacentral:rRNA from 1 species
GGUGAACGCUGGCGGCGUGCUUAAGACAUGCAAGUCGAACGGGCUCUUCGGAGCCAGUUGCGCACGGGUGAGUAACGCGUAACUGACCUACCCCAAAGUCGCGGAUAACGAUUCGAAAGAAUCGCUAAUACGUGAUGUGCUGUCAGAUCCUGUUCUGCCAGUAAAGCUUUAUUGCUUUGGGAUGGGGUUGCGUUCCAUCAGCUAGUUGGUGGGGUAAAGGCCCACUAAGGCGACGACGGAUCGCCGGCCUUAGAGGGUGGCCGGCCACAGGGGCACUGAGACACGGGUCCCACUCCUACGGGAGGCAGCAGUUAGGAAUCUUCAACAAUGGGCGAAAGCCUGAUGGAGCGACGCCGCGUGAGGGAUGAAGGUCUUCGGAUCGUAAACCUCUGAAUCAGGGACGAAAGACGCGAAAGCGGGAUGACGGUACCUGAGUAAUAGCACCGGCUAACUCCGUG